rnacentral:rRNA from 1 species
CAGGGCGGGCCGGCCAUAAAAAUGCCAGUCGAGCGGACAGAAGGGAGCUUGCUCCCGGAUGUUAGCGGCGGACGGGUGAGUAACACGUGGGUAACCUGCCUGUAAGACUGGGAUAACUCCGGGAAACCGGAGCUAAUACCGGAUAGUUCCUUGAACCGCAUGGUUCAAGGAUGAAAGACGGUUUCGGCUGUCACUUACAGAUGGACCCGCGGCGCAUUAACUAGUUGGUGGGGUAAUGGCUCACCAAGGCGACGAUGCGUACCCAACCUGAGAGGGUGAUCGGCCACACUGGGACUGAGACACGGCCCAGACUCCUACGGGAGGCAGCAGUAGGGAAUCUUCCGCAAUGGACGAAAGUCUGACGGAGCAACGCCGCGUGAGUGAUGAAGGUUUUCGGAUCGUAAAGCUCUGUUGUUAGGGAAGAACAAGUGCGAGAGUAACUGCUCGCACCUUGACGGUACCUAACCAGAAAGCCACGGCUAACUACGUGCCAGCAGCCGCGGUAAUACUUAGGUGGCAAGCGUUGUCCAGUAUUAUUGGGCGUAAAGGGCUCGCAGGCGGUUUCUUAAGUCUGAUGUGAAAGCCCCCGGCUCAACCGGGGAGGGUCAUUGGAAACUGGGAAACUUGAGUGCAGAAAGGAGAGUGGAAUUCCCACGUGUAGCGGUGAAAUGCGUAGA